UGACUGGCUCAGAUUGAACGCUGGCGGAUGCUUUUUCAUACUACGCAAGUCGAACGGCAGCACGACUUCGGUCUGGUGGCGAGUGGCGAACGGUGAGUAAUGUAUCGAACGUGCCUAGUAGCGGGAUAAUUUACGCGAAAGCGUAGCUUUCAAUACUGCGCGGCAUUGCCCUUCGCAAAAGUGGGGACCUCGGGCCCUUUCGCACUAGAGCGGGCCGAUAUCGAUUAGCAUUUUUCGCCAAGACGGCGACGAUCCGAAGGUAGCUAAGUUCUUUUUGGAGAGGACCAGUAGACUCAGCCACACUCGGACGGUUGAGGAUUACGCGGCCGACUCUACUGGAGGCAGCAGUAGAAUUUCUUCUGGGACGAAUGGGGAAAUCCGAUCCGUUUCAUCCGGCAAAAGGCGAUGGAAAAGGCCUCUUCAGGGCUAAGAAAAAGGAAUUUCUCGGGCGGCGGAAAGAAACUACAUUUGGAUACCCUCGUGCAAAUCGACGGUACCUGGCAGAAUAUGCACCGGCUAACUACGUGCUGCGGCAGCCGCGGUAAUACGUAGGGUGCAAGCGUUAAUCGGAAUAUUGGCAGCGCAGGCGGUUCGGAAAGAAAGAUGAACCCAGAGCUAACUUUGGGAACUACGAACACCGAGCGAGUGCACAGAGGAGGGAAUCGCGUGCGUGCAGCAAAUGCGUAGAUAUGGAGGAACACCGAUGGCGAAGGCAGCUCUCCUGGGAUAACACUGGAUGUUCAUAACGAAAAGCGUGGUAUACAAACAGGAUUAGAUACCCUGCAGUCCACGCCCUAAACGAUGUCAACUGGCUGUUGGGCCUCGGGCCUGGUAGCGGCAGCAGAAAGCUAAUGUAGCAGUGAAGUUGACCGCCUGGGGAGUACGGUCGCAAGGACAAACUCAAAGGAAUUGACGGGGACCCGCACAAGCGGUGUAGAUGAUGGUGGACGACCGACGUAACGCGAAAAACUCCAUCACCCCUGACAUGUCUGGAAUCCCGAAGAGAUUUGGGAGUGCUCGCAAGAGAACCCAGAACAGGUGCUGCAUGGCUGUCAGCUUCGCCCGUGUCGUGAGAGCUGGGUUAAGUCCCGCAACGAGCGCAACCCUUGUCAUUAGUUGCCACAGGCAGGCACUCUGACGAGACUGCCGGUGACAACCGAGGAAGGUGGGGAUGACGUCAAGUCCUCAUGGCCCUUAUGGUAGGGAUUCACACGCCAUACAAUGGUCGGGACAGAGGGUCGCCAACCCGCGAGGGGGAGCCAAUCCCAGAAACCCGAUCGUAGUCCGCAGUCUGCAACUUCGACUGCGUGAAGUCGGAAUCGCUAGUAAUCGCGGAUCAGCAUGUCGCGGUGAAUACGUUCCCGGGUCUUGUACACACCGCCCGUCACACCAUGGGAGUGGCUUCACCAGAAGUAGUUAGCCUAACCGUAAGGAGGGCGAUUACCACGGUAGGAUUCAUGACUGGGUGAAGUCGUAACAAGGUGG
rnacentral:rRNA from 1 species